rnacentral:rRNA from 1 species
GAUGAACGCUAGCGGCAGGCCUAACACAUGCAAGUCGAGCGGUAGAAGGAGCUUGCUCCUUUGAGACCGGCGCACGGGUGCGUAACGCGUAUGCAAUCUACCUUGUACAGGGGAAUAGCCCAGAGCAAUUUGGAUUAAUGCCCCAUAGUAUAUAACCUUCGCAUGUUGGUUAUAUUAAAGUUCCAACGGUACAAGAUGAGCAUGCGUCCCAUUAGUUAGUUGGUAAGGUAACGGCUUACCAAGACGAUGAUGGGUAGGGGUCCUGAGAGGGAGAUCCCCCACACGGGUACUGGGACACGGACCAGACGCCUACGGGAGGCAGCAGUGAGGAAUAUGGGUCAAUGGUCGCAAGACUGAACCAGCCAUGCCGGGUGCAGGAAGACGGUCCUAGGGAGUGUAAACUGCUUUUAGACAGGAAGAAACCCUCCCACGUGUGGGAGCUUGACGGUACUGUAGGAAUAAGGAUCGGCUAACUCCGUG